rnacentral:rRNA from 1 species
AGAGUUUGAUCCUGGCUCAGGACGAACGCUGGCGGCGUGCCUAAUACAUGCAAGUCGAGCGGACCUUUCGGGGUCAGCGGCGGACGGGUGAGUAACACGUGGGCAAUCUGCCCGAUACUCUGGGAUAACGCUUGGAAACGAGUGCUAAUACCGGAUGGUCUUCUUGGCCGCAUGGCCGAGAAGGAAAAGACGCGUUCGCGUCGGUGUCGGAUGAGCCCGCGGUGCAUUAGCUAGUUGGUGAGGUAACGGCCCACCAAGGCGACGAUGCGUAGCCGACCUGAGAGGGUGACCGGCCACACUGGGACUGAGACACGGCCCAGACUCCUACGGGAGGCAGCAGUAGGGAAUCUUCCACAAUGGGCGAAAGCCUGAUGGAGCAACGCCGCGUGAGUGACGAAGGCCUUCGGGUUGUAAAGCUCUGUCAUUCGGGACGAACCGGAGUCUGAGGAAAUGCAGACUCUCUGACGGUACCGGAGGAGGAAGCCCCGGCUAACUACGUGCCAGCAGCCGCGGUAAUACGUAGGGGGCAAGCGUUGUCCGGAUUCACUGGGGCGUAAAGCGCGCGCAGGCGGUGACGUAAGUCUGAGGUGAAAACCCGAAGCUCAACUUCGGGACUGCCUUGGAUACUGCGUCACUUGAGGAUAGGAGAGGCAAGGGGAAUUCCACGUGUAGCGGUGAAAUGCGUAGAGAUGUGGAGGAACACCUGUGGCGAAGGCGCCUUGCUGGCCUAUUUCUGACGCUGAGGCGCGAAAGCGUGGGGAGCAAACAGGAUUAGAUACCCUGGUAGUCCACGCUGUAAACGAUGAGUGCUAGGUGUAGGUGGGCUCAUACCCAUCUGUGCCGAAGCUAACGCAUUAAGCACUCCGCCUGGGGAGUACGGUCGCAAGACUGAAACUCAAAGGAAUUGACGGGGGCCCGCACAAGCAGUGGAGCAUGUGGUUUAAUUCGAAGCAACGCGAAGAACCUUACCAGGACUUGACAUCCCAUAGACCAGUCUAGAGAUAGACUUUCCCUUCGGGGCUGUGGUGACAGGUGGUGCAUGGUUGUCGUCAGCUCGUGUCGUGAGAUGUUGGGUUAAGUCCCGCAACGAGCGCAACCCUUACUUUGUGUUGCCAGCAUUCAGUUGGGCACUCACAAGGGACUGCCGCCGAUAAGGCGGAGGAAGGUGGGGAUGACGUCAAAUCAUCAUGCCCCUUAUGUCCUGGGCUACACACGUGCUACAAUGGGCGGUACAACGGGAUGCGAAGCCGCGAGGUGGAGCCAAACCCUGAAAACCGUUCGUAGUUCGGAUUGUAGGCUGCAACUCGCCUACAUGAAGCCGGAAUUGCUAGUAAUCGCGGAUCAGCAUGCCGCGGUGAAUCCGUUCCCGGGCCUUGCACACACCGCCCGU